AUUGAACGCUGGCGGCAGGCCUAACACAUGCAAGUCGAACGAGUGGCGGACGGGUGAGUAAUGUCUGGGAAACUGCCUGAUGGAGGGGGAUAACUACUGGAAACGGUAGCUCAUCCCGAAUACCAUCGGAUGUGCCCGGAUGGGCUUAGCUAGUAGGUGGGGUAACGGCGCACCAAGACGACGAUCCCUAGCUGGUCUCAGAGGAUGACCAGCCACACUGGAACUGAGACACGGUCCAGACUCCUACGUGAGGCAGCAGUGGGGAAUAUGGCACAAUGGUCGCAAGCCUGAUGCAGCCAUGCCGCGUGGAGGAAGAAGGCCUUGGGGUUGUAAAGUACUUUCAGCGAGGAGGCGUUACCCGCAGAAGAAGCACCGGCUAACUCCGUGCCAGCAGCCGCGGUAAUUC
rnacentral:rRNA from 1 species